AGGAUAAACGCUGGCGGCGUGCCUAAAACAUGCAAGUCGAACGGCUGAUGCCUUCGGGUAUCGGUAGUGGCGGACGGCUGAGUAACACGUGGGUGACCUGCCCCGGAGCGGGGGAUAACUGCCCGAAAGGGUGGCUAAUACCGCAGACAUCAUGGGUUCGUUCUCAUGAUUGAACCGAUAUAGGGUUCUGGGAGGGGCCCGCGGCCGAUUAGCUAGCUGGUGGGGUAAUGGCCUACCAGGGCGUCGAUCGGUAGCUGGUCUGAGAGGAUGAUCAGCCAGACUGGGACUGCGAACGGCCCAGACUCCUACGGGAGGCAGCAGUUAGGAAUUUGGGCAAUGGGCGAAAGCCUGACCCAGCAACGCCGCGUGGGUGAUGAAGGCCCUCGGGUCGUAAAGCCCGUUUUCCCAGGGAAGAUGAUGACGGUACCUGGGAAUCACGCCCGCUAACACGUGCCAGCAGCCGC
rnacentral:rRNA from 1 species